rnacentral:misc_RNA from 1 species
AAGUCGUAACAAGGUUUCCGUAGGUGAACCUGCGGAAGGAUCAUUACCAGGUGGAGUAGACUUCGCGUCUGCACCUCCCUCCCUUUGCUUACACGUAAUCGUUGCUCGAGUGGGCUGCCUCACCGCGCCCGCGAGAGAAUAACUUAACCCUUUUUGUUUAUGAGAGUCUGAGUCUAUGACAAAUGAAUAAAACUUUCAACAACGGAUCUCUUGGUUCCA